rnacentral:rRNA from 1 species
GACUCGGUUGGAUGGUCUGCCUUUGUGUAUGUACUGCUUGGCCGGGUUCUACCUCUUGGUGAGCCAGCAUGCCCUUCACUGGGUGUGUCGGGGAACCAGGACUUUUACCUUGAGAAAAUUAGAGUGUUCAAAGCAGGCCUUUGCCCGAAUACAUUAGCAUGGCAUAAUAAAAUAGGACGU